CCUCUGUAAUCUUUGUUUUUUUUGGUGACUGCACAUUAUAAUUGCCUUCUCUUAGCUUUUUAUGUAAUCUCUCUGUUUUGUAAUUAACGAAGGUACUUGUUGGAAGAUAAUUUUAUAUACAUUUCUUAAAUACAUAGAGACGAAGAUUUAUAGAGACAUUGUAAGAGUUGAUACAGAAGAGAAAAGUUGAUUAGAAGAAGCGUCAGAUUAGAACUUGUUAAUGAUUAUAGGAUAUGAUGUGUUUUGUUGAGAGAGACAAAAAUUGGCAGCCUAUGAGAUUCUUGACACAGUUUAGUGGGAUGGUUGUAGGAAA